GCAGAACCACCACGAACACGGAGCCGUUGCUCAACAGGACGAGCAGUAAGAAAGCCACCACCGCCACGUAGAAGACGAUGUCGUUCUGCAGCCAGCAGCUGGGAUCAAGCAGUCAGUCAAACGCGGUUUGCAAAUUCAGGGUCUGCCCGUUGACAGCUGGGAUAGGCUCCAGCACUCCCGUGACCCUUCUGAGGAUAAGCGGCUAAGAAAAUGGAUGCAUGGAUGGAUGACAUUUUUUUUAUUUAGUCAUAACGGACCUCCAAUGCGGCCUGUGACAAAAAUGAGUUUGACACCCCCCUCCGCCCCACUUUGGGUUAUUUUUGAAAGAUGGCGGAGCAAAUGGAGCGCGACGAGAGGAAGAAGCCGAAGGGCGCGGCGCAGUCAAACAGCAAACGUUACAGUGCAGUGGAAAAGGUCCGACACGAGUGGAUAAAAGAACUUGAGGAUGUAAGCGGACACGUAGGUGUUGAAGAUCUUGACCAGGGCGAAGUACAUGUGGACGGCCUCCAGGGCCAUCCAGGCGAAGGAGGCCAGCAGGAAGUAGUGCAGCGCGGCGCCGGCGAAGAUGC